GACGUAGGUGGCGAACGUUAUCCGGAAUUAUUGGGCGUAAAGGGUGCGUAGGUGGCCUGACAAGUUAUCAGUGGCAAAUCGAGGCUCAACCUCGUGGAAACUGGUAAUACUGUUCGGCUUGAGUACAGGAGAGGUUAACGGAACUCUAUGUGGAGCGGUAAAAUGCACAGAUAUAUAGAAGAACAUCAAUAAAGGCGAAGGCAGUUAACUAGUCUGUUACUGACGCUGAGGCACGAAAGCUAGGGGAGCGAAUGGG
rnacentral:rRNA from 1 species